rnacentral:rRNA from 1 species
UACGUAGGGGGCAAGCAUUAUCCGGAUUUACUGGGUGUAAAGGGAGCGUAGACGGCCAGACAAGUCUGAAGUGAAAAUCCAGCGCUUAACGCUGGAAGUGCUUUGGAAACUGCCGGGCUGGAGUGCAGGAGGGGCAGGCGGAAUUCCUAGUGUAGCGGUGAAAUGCGUAGAUAUUAGGAGGAACACCAGUGGCGAAGGCGGCCUGCUGGACUGCAACUGACGUUGAGGCUCGAAGGCGUGGGGAGCAAACAGG